UGGAGAGAGGCCAUGUUGGAGUGUGUGUAUGUUGUUGUAGUUGUAAAAGAGCAGUGUAAGAGUGAGCACAAGUGGUGAAGCACUGUGUCAGAGGAAGACCCCAGCAACAGUGUCCUCAGUCGUGAAGAUAUACAAGCAAUGUCGUCAUUAUUCUCCGGGAGAGUAGCUUUGGUUACAGAGCCCAGAGAUCCAUUACAGAAUUUAUGCACACUCCAAUACAACCAUUGACUUUAGUACCAGAACCUCUACCAUCCACUUCUGCCGACAACCAACAACCAUCCUCCUCAGACCAGUAGGGCGACACCAUGCAUGUCCACUCUUCACAAUCAUCCACAAACACCAUUACCCACAAUUUAAGAUUGAAAACCAAAACCUUUUCAUUGUGGUUGUAUACAAGCCUCUGGACACUACUUCCCAGCAAUUCCAGGAGCAGCUUUUCAAAAUUGACCACUGUAUGGAAAAUCUCCCAACUCUUGCCCUGGACAUCUUGCUGCCUGGCAAUUUCAGCUUAAAACACCUAAAGUGGAAAAGUGUAGCAAAUAAUGUUUUAGCAGAGAUAACCCCAGGGGGCAGCUCAGAUGAAAGUUCACACACACACGAGCUAUUAAAUCUCUGCAACAAAUUUACUUUAAGCCCACGCACUCAGCCCUAGGCCCAGACUUGUGGAACUCCAUGUUCAUCAAGAACUGCAAGAAGCCCCUUUCACGUGUCUUCAGCUUGAAGGAACAUGGACACGGGUCAUCCCACAAUCACUAAAAACAAAAAACAUAGCCCUCCUCCAUGAAGAUGGAAGCAAAGCAGUUGCAAAGAAUUACAGACCUAUAGCACUAAUGUCCUGUAUCAUAAAAAUCUUUAAAAAGGUUCUAAGAAGCAAGAUUGUCACCCAUGUAGAUAUCCAUCAGUUACACAAGCCAGGGCACCAUGGGUUUAGAGCAGGCGGCAGCUCCUGCUUGUCCCAACUAUUGGCCUACUAUGACAAGGUCUUAGAUGCACUGAAGGACAAACAAAAUGCAGAUGUAGUAUACACAGACCCUAUGAAAGCCUUCGACAAAAUGCAUGGUAAAGGAAUAACAGGAAAAGUUGGUAGAUGGAUCUAUAACUUCCUAACAAAUAGAACAGAGAGAGUAAUAGUAAACAAAGUCUGAUCAGCCACAAUGAAAACCUCCGUUCCACAAGGCACAGUACAGUGGUCCCCCAGUUCACGAAGUCACCGGUAACCGAUAAAUCCGGUAUCCGAAGCGUUAUACGUAUUGCAAAAAAUUUGCCCCGGUUCCCGUUACAAAACCUGGUACGCGAUACGAUUCGUACGAGACGUGUCCACAUGUGGCCUGAACUGCCCUGUGUGUCCCAGUGUUUACAAGCCAGCCAGUGUGCGCACAUCUAAGGAUACAUUCGGUACAUUCCAUAUUAUCCAUAUUAUCACUGUUUCUGGUGCUUGUUUCUGCAAAAUAAGUCACCAUGGGCCCCAACAAAGCUUCUAGUGCCAACCCUUCGAGACCAAGGGUGCUAAUGACUAUUGAAAUGAAGAAAGAGAUAAUUGCAAAGUAUGAAAGCGGAGUGCGUGUGUCGGACCUGGCCAAGUUGUAUAGUAAAUCCCAAUCAACCAUCUCUACUAUAGUGAGCAGGAAAACGGCAAUCAAGGAAGCUGUUCUUGCAAAAGGUGCAACUGUGACUACAAAACAGCGAUCGCAAGUGUUAGAAAAUGUUGAGAGACUGUUACUGGUGUGGAUAAAUGAAAAACAGAUAGCUGGAGAUAGCAUCUCUCAAGCGAUCAUUUGUGAAAAGGCUAGGCAGUUGCAUGAGGAUUUAAUUAGAAAAAUGCCUGCAACUAGUGGUGAUGUGAGUGAAUUUAAGGCCAGCAAAGGCUGGUUUGAAAGAUUUAAGAAUCUUAGUGGCAUACAUAGUGUGAUUAGGCAUGGUGAGGCUGCCAGUUCAGACCACAAAGCGGCUGAAAAAUAUGUGCAUGAAUUCAAGGAGUACAUAGAGGCUGAAGGAUUGAAACCUGAACAAGUGUUUAAUUGUGAUGAAGCAAGCCUGUUUUGGAAGAAAUAGCCAAGCAGGACCUACAUUACUCAGGAGGAAAAGGCACUCCCAGGACAUAAGCCUAUGAAAGACAGGCUUACUCUUCUCAUGUGUGCCAAUGCUAGUGGUGAUUGCAAAGUGAAGCCUUUAUUGGUGUAUCACUCAGAAACUUCUAGAGCGUUCAGGCAAAAGAAUAUCCUCAAGGCUAAUUUGUGUGUGCUGUGGAGGGCAAACAGUAAGGCAUGGGUCACUAGGGACGACUUUUUCUAUGACUGGUUACACCAUGCAUUUGCCCUCAAACCCACACUAUUUGCAGAUGACACUACAUACGUCUUCUCCCACCCGAGCCCAGUCACGCUAGCCAAUACUGUAAAUACCGAAUUACAGAAAAUAUCUACCUGGAUGAGAACUAACAAACUUACACUAAACAUUGACAAAACCUACUUCAUUCAGUUUGGUAACAGAGCUACAGAUGUCCCUCUUAACAUAAUGAUAAACGGAUCACCUAUCACAAAGCUAACAGAGGGAAAAUUCUUAGGAAUCCACCUUGAUAAUAGACUCAAAUUUCAUACACAUAUACAACAAAUUUCUAAGAAAAUUUCCAAGACUGUAGGCAUACUAUCGAAGAUACGGUACUAUGCUCCACAGUCAGCCCUCCUGGCCCUAUAUCACUCUCUUAUUUACCCCUAUCUCACCUAUGGAUUUUGUGCAUGGGGCUCAACAACAAGUAACCAUCUCAGACCACUAAUUACCCAACAAAAGGCUGCAGUUUAGAAUGAUAACAAAUUCUCACUAUAGGCAGCACACUCCACCAAUAUUCAAUACACUAAACCUCCUCACCAUACAAAACAUCCAUACUUACUACUGCACCUAUUACAUACAUAGAACACUUAACUCUGAUGUUAACCCUCCCCUCAAACA